rnacentral:rRNA from 1 species
CGUUUGAGGGGAGCCUGCGGAGGGAUCAUUACACAACAAAAAUAUGAGGGUGUGGUUUGCUGGCAACAGCGUCCGCCCCAAGUAUUUUUCACCCAUGUCUUUUGCGCACUUUUUGUUUCCUGGGCGAGUUCGCUCGCCACCAGGACCCAACCAUAAACCUUUUUUUAUGCAGUUGCAAUCAGCGUCAGUAUAAUAAUUCAAUUUAUUAAAACUUUCAACAACGGAUCUCUUGGUUCUGGCAUCGAUGAAGAACGCAGCGAAAUGCGAUACGUAGUGUGAAUUGCAGAAUUCAGUGAAUCAUCGAAUCUUUGAACGCACAUUGCGCCCUUUGGUAUUCCAAAGGGCAUGCCUGUUCGAGCGUCAUUUGUACCCUCAAGCUUUGCUUGGUGUUGGGCGUCUUUUUGUCUCUCCCCUUGUUGGGGGAGACUCGCCUUAAAACGAUUGGCAGCCGACCUACUGGUUUUCGGAGCGCAGCACAAAUUUGCGCCUUCCAAUCCACGGGGCGGCAUCCAGCAAGCCUUUGUUUUCUAUAACAAAUCCACAUUUUGACCUCGGAUCAGGUAGGGAUACCCGCUGAACUUAAGCAUAUCAAAAC